AUUGAACGCUGGCGGCAUGCCUUACACAUGCAAGUCGAACGGCAGCACGGGAGCAAUCCUGGUGGCGAGUGGCGAACGGGUGAGUAAUAUAUCGGAACGUGCCCAGUCGUGGGGGAUAACGUAGCGAAAGCUACGCUAAUACCGCAUACGAUCUAUGGAUGAAAGCGGGGGAUCGCAAGACCUCGCGCGAUUGGAGCGGCCGAUAUCAGAUUAGGUUGUUGGUGGGGUAAAAGCCUACCAAGCCUGCGAUCUGUAGCUGGUCUGAGAGGACGACCAGCCACACUGGAACUGAGACACGGUCCAGACUCCUGCGGGAGGCAGCAGUGGGGAAUUUUGGACAAUGGGCGCAAGCCUGAUCCAGCAAUGCCGCGUGCAGGAUGAAGGCCUCGGGUUGUAACGUAGCUUUUGUACGGUAACGAAACGGUACCGUUUCUAA
rnacentral:rRNA from 1 species